GUAAGGUGUUGGGUUAAGUCUCGCAACGAGCGCAACCCUCGUGUUUAGUUGCCACUAUGAGUUUGGAACCCUGAACAGACCGCCGGUGUUAAGCCGGAGGAAGGAGAGGAUGAGGCCAAGUCAUCAUGCCCCUUAUGACCUGGGCGACACACGUGCUACAAUGGGCGGGACAAAGGGUCGCGAUCUCGCGAGGGUGAGCUAACUCCAAAAACCCGUCCUCAGUUCGGAUUGCAGGCUGCAACUCGCCUGCAUGAAGCAGGAAUCGCUAGUAAUCGCCGGUCAGCCAUACGGCGGGGAAUCCGUUCCCGGGCC
rfam:Hordeum vulgare subsp. vulgare, WGS project CAJW01000000 data, contig: morex_contig_1187837